GUGUCAGCAGCCGCGGUAAUACGGAGGGUGCAAGCGUUAAUCGGAAUAACUGGGCGUAAAGCGCACGCAGGCGGUUUGCUAAGCUAGAUGUGAAAGCCCCGGGCUCAACCUGGGAACUGCAUUUAGAACUGGCGAACUAGAGUCUUGUAGAGGGGGGUAGAAUUCCAGGUGUAGCGGUGAAAUGCGUAGAGAUCUGGAGGAAUACCGGUGGCGAAGGCGGCCCCCUGGACAGAUACUGACACUCAGAUGCGAAAGCGUGGGGAGCAAACAGGAUUAGAAACCCCAGUAGUCC
rnacentral:rRNA from 1 species